UGGAAGGAUUGCUUGAGCCUGGGAGGUCGAGGCUGCAGUGAGCCAUGGUCACAUCACUGCACUCCAGCCCAGGUGACCCUGUCUCAAAAACAUAUAUAAGUAAAUAAUGAGAUGUAGUGACUUCAAAAGGAACGUUCAUCAAAGUUGCUUAAAGGAGAGUUGGAAGCCAUAUAAUGUCCAACAAUAAAGGACUGCCUAAAAAUUAUGAAUCAGCUAUGCGAGGGAAUAUUGUAUAGUCAUAAAAAUUAUACUUUUGAAGAACAUGCAACUUAAUGGGAAAGUGUGCAUUGUCUACUUCAGAAAGCAAAGAUGAAAUUUUAUAUAGAAUUAUCUCAGAUAUACAUGAAUGUGUGUAUAUACGCAUACACAUAAAUAUAAUAGUGUGUCUAUAAGAGAGACAGGAAAUACUGCUUUUCUGUUUGUGAUGAAAUGCAAAUUCCUUAUGUAUUUUCCUAAAAUGUUUAAAAUGAGACUUUUGUAAUCAGAAGUACAUAAGCCCUCUUCCCCCAAAGAAAAUGAUUAUUCUACUGCCUAUCUUGGCUGUAUUCUUACUUGGGGGUAGGGUGGGUGGAGUGAACAGGGAGGGCUAAUCUCUCCUCCUCCUUUCUGACUCAUUCCACAGCCAAUUCUCUUUCUUAUUAUUCUCCAAAGGCAUGAGGACCUUCCACAUUCCAAAGUAUUUCAUUUCCGAAGUAUUUUAUUGUCGAGGGUAUUUCUUCUGGACUAUUUUCCACUUCCCUCCAUCUGCCCAGCCAGGUAUUCUGCAUCUGUAAAAGCUGGUUUCUGAUGUCAUCUCUAGGCAGGACCACUCCGUCUCUCUCCUGCACUCCUAUACUUCAUGGCAAAUCCGCCCCACGAUAGCACUUGUCACUCUGUUUUCCAAAUUCAGUUCCAUUCAUUUUCUUCACAUUGCACUGAGCCCACUGAUUUCUUUCCCUCUCUGUUGCCAGCACUGGAGACCAAGCCUGCACCAUCAAUCAUCUUUUAACACAGAAUCAGGGAGAGUGGAGAGUGUGGAGUGGUGUGGCCAGUCUUUGCCUCUUGCUGUUCAGUGAACUUCAUGCCUGUCCUCCUGAUCCCCAGCGCUAGCGCAGGGUCAGGCUCAUGGAAGUGAACAACAACCAUUGAUCUCUGGAGGAUUGGUGGAAGUCCUUUCAUUUACUUGACAGUUUACCUGUCAAUUUUACAUGCGUGGUCAUUUCUAAUCCUCUACACUUUCAGGUCUGACCAUGAGCAGUGGGGAUGAAGGAACUGUGAAAUCACCCACAGCUGUGCAUGUCAUCUGUUAGCCUGCUCAUUUCCUCACGCAUCUACACCCUGAGCCCCUAAGUGUCUUGCACUGUUCAAAGUUCUGGCCUCUCUUGCUCAGCGCUUCCUUAUGAAGUCCAUCACACUGCUGAUGCCAACAGAAGCAAAAGAAUCAGGGACACAGAUGAAGCAAAAACGUGAAUGAGAGGGAUGGAAAAAGGGUAGAGCUUCUUCCAUAUGGAAGCAAUAUCAGGAGCUGAGAAGCAGAGUUCAGCAUCACCACUGUCUUCCUCCAGGUGAGAUAGAAUUACAUCUUUCUCAAUGAUUCUCAAGACCAGGGCCAUGAGAAUGAUCCCUCCAGCUAGGGCUCUGCUCUGUUUCCCUUUACAGCAAAAUUCCUCAAAGGGUU